ACGCUCUUAGUUCAGUUCGGUAGAACGCGGGUCUCCAAAACCGAUGUCGUAGGUUCAAUCUACAGAGCGUG
rnacentral:tRNA from 1 species